rnacentral:rRNA from 1 species
GGACGAACGCUGGCGGCGUGCUUAACACAUGCAAGUCGAGCGGUAAGGCCCUUUCGGGGGUACACGAGCGGCGAACGGGUGAGUAACACGUGGGUGACCUGCCCUUAGCUCUGGGUAUAAGCCUGGGAAACUGGGUCUAAAUACCGGAUAUGACUCCAUAACGCAUGUUGUGGGGUGGAAAGCCUUGUAGCGGCUAGGGAUGGGCCCGCGGCCUAUCAGCUUGUU